rnacentral:rRNA from 1 species
GUGGGGAAUUUUGGACAAUGGGCGCAAACCUGAUCCAGCCAUUCCGCGUGCAGGAUGAAGGCCUUCGGGUUGUAAACUGCUUUUGUACGGAACGAAAAGCCUCUGGUUAAUACCCGGGGGUCAUGACGGUACCGUAAGAAUAAGCACCGGCUAACUACGUGCCAGCAGCCGCGGUAAUACGUAGGGUGCGAGCGUUAAUCGGCAUUACUGGGCGUAAAGCGUGCGCAGGCGGUGAUGUAAGACAGUUGUGAAAUCCCCGGGCUCAACCUGGGAACUGCAUCUGUGACUGCAUUGCUGGAGUGCGGCAGAGGGGGAUGGAAUUCCGCGUGUAGCAGUGAAAUGCGUAGAUAUGCGGAGGAACACCGAUGGCGAAGGCAAUCCCCUGGGCCUGCACUGACGCUCAUGCACGAAAGCGUGGGGAGCAAACAGGAUUAGAAACCCCGGUAGUCC